AAAUUGAAGAGUUUGAUCAUGGCUCAGAUUGAACGCUGGCGGCAGGCCUAACACAUGCAAGUCGAACGGUAACAGGAAGCAGCUUGCUGCUUCGCUGACGAGUGGCGGACGGGUGAGUAAUGUCUGGGAAACUGCCUGAUGGAGGGGGAUAACUACUGGAAACGGUGGCUAAUACCGCAUAACGUCGCAAGACCAAAGAGGGGGACCUUCGGGCCUCUUGCCAUCAGAUGUGCCCAGAUGGGAUUAGCUUGUUGGUGAGGUAACGGCUCACCAAGGCGACGAUCCCUAGCUGGUCUGAGAGGAUGACCAGCCACACUGGAACUGAGACACGGUCCAGACUCCUACGGGAGGCAGCAGUGGGGAAUAUUGCACAAUGGGCGCAAGCCU
rnacentral:rRNA from 1 species